AGUGAGAGAUUUACAGAGAAAAAGACGGUUACUGUCACUUUUCUAUCUGAUAUUGUAUGUGUCCACUCCUCCUCAGUAGUAGAAGUCAUCUCCUUUCUUUUCGGAUCCUUUUCUGUACUUUUUGCGGAUCGG
ensembl:ncRNA C34G6.10 ncRNA